CUACGGGCCGCUCCAGGCGCGAAACCUUUACAAUGCACGCAAGUGUGAUAAGGGAAUCCUAAGUGCUUUGCUUUUAGUAAGGCUUUUGUUAAGAGUAAAAAUCUUAGCGAAUAAAUGGUGGGUAAGACUGGUGCCAGCAGCCGCGGUAACACCAGCGCCAUAAGUGGCAAUCAUAUUUAUUGGGCCUAAAGCGUCCGUAGCCUGUUUGAGCAGUCUUUUGUGAAAUCGUUAUGCUCAACAUAACGGUGUGCACAAGAUACCAUCAAACUCGGAACCGGAGAGGAGUCGGAGGUAUUCUAAGGGGAGCGGUAAAAUGCUAUAAUCCUUGGAGGACCACCUGUGGCGAAAGCGUCCGACUAGAACGGCUUCGACGGUGAGGGACGAAAGUCAGGGGAGCGAACCGGAUUAGAUACCCGGGUAGUC
rnacentral:rRNA from 1 species